CCCCAUUGGGUUAGCUCAAUGUGUAGAAUAUUGACAAUGUUUGAGAAUGUCUCAGGAUCAGUAUACACUACCGUACUGCCACAAUACUGUAUCAUUUUCUGCUUAAAGACCUUAAUUAUUCAGCAGUAUUUGUUUAAAGUUAGAGGGACCCACUGUAAUGUUUGGUUUUCAGUAGCUUUGAAGUAAUAAAACCCUUCCUGUUCAGCUGCUAGAUAAUAUUCAGUGAUGAAAAGGUUAACUUUGUUCAGGGCAGAGGACUGGGAGGGGAGGAGCCUCUUAUGAUCUCCCUGAAACGAAACUAAAGAGAUUCUAAACUCAGGAAAAAACGUACUACUUUAGUUUAAGUGUUUUGGUUAUUUUAUACACAAAGAUUAUAGAAAACGGCCCAACAUAAGUACCAACAGGUGAAAACAUCCAAUUAUGAUGUGACUAGUAAAUACAGACGGUUGCUUGACUGAUGUUUGAAAGACCGUAGAACUAGGCUCUUCUGAUCCUUGAUAUUCUGCUGUUUUUUCACUUUUUUUUGACUGUUUGUACCUCGCUUUGGACCUGCUAAAUUAAUGAAAUGUUUCAUGUAGUAAUUAUGCAUUGUAUUAUUUCUGUAGGUCAUUCCUGUUUGUUAAAGUACAAUUCAAUAUACCUUUAUACCGUUUUGUUGAGUUCAUAGGUUGACAAGAUUCACAAUUUAACUUCUGGUCUUAUUCUAGAAAUGGCUUCCUGCAGCAGUCUCCUGUCUGAAGAUCAGUUCCUGUGUUCUAUCUGUCUGGAUGUGUUCACUGAUCCUGUUACAACUUCAUGUGAACACAACUUCUGCAAGGCCUGUAUCACCAAGUACUGGGACAACAGUGACCUGUGUCAAUGUCCUAUGUGUAAAAUGACUUUUGAUAAGAAACCAGAUCUCUAUGUCAAUACUUUUGUCUCGGAGAUGGCUACUCAGUUCAGGAAGUCAGAGCCACUGAAAGCUACCAUCAGUCCAGACCUGCAUCCUACUAAAUCUGAAGUGUCAUGUGACAUCUGUACAGGUACCAAGCUCAAGGCCCUGAAGUCCUGUCUGGGGUGUCUGGCCUCUUACUGUGAGACUCACCUGGAGCCUCAUCAGAGAGUUGCAGCCUUGAAGAAACACAAGAUGAUCGACCCUGUGGAGAACCUGGAGGACAGGAUGUGUCAGAAGCAUGACAAACUGUUAGAACUCUUCUGUAGGAAAGAUCAAAUGUGUGUUUGUGUCACGUGCAUGAGAACAGAUCACAAAACCCAUUUCUUUAUAACUUUAGAAGAGGCGUAUGAACAGAGGAAGUUAGAACUGACACAGGUAAUGGUUGAGAUGAAGCAGAUGAUGGAAGAGAGAUUUAGGAAGGUUCAGGAGCUCAAACUCUCAGUAGAGACCUUCAAGAGAGAUGCAGAGAGAGAGAUAUCAGAUAGUGUUCAGGUCUUCACUGCUCUGGUGUGCUCCAUUGAGAGAAGCCAGGCUGAGCUCAUUGGGGUGAUUGAGGAGAAGCAGAAAGCAGCAGAGAAACAGGCUGAAGGGUUGAUUAAAGAUCUGGGGCAGGAGAUCACUGAGCUGAAGAGAAGCACUGAGCUGGAGCAGCUCUCACACACUGAGGACCACCUCCACCUGCUCCAGAGCUUCCCAUCCCUGAGCACCCCUCCACACACCAAGGACUGGUCUGAGAUCAGUGUCCACAGUGGUCUGAGUGUGGGGGCAGUGAGGAGAGCUGUGUCUCAGCUGGAGGAGACACUCAAUAAAGAGAUGGAGAAGCUGCCUGAAGUCAAGCUGAAGAGGAUUCAGCAGUAUGCAGUGGAUGUGACUCUGGACCCUGAUACAGCACAUCCACGUCUAAUCCUCUCUGAGGAUGGGAAACAAGUGAGAGAUGGAGACAUAAAGCAGGAUCUCCCUGACAAUCCAGAGAGGUUUGAUCAUUGUCCCAGUGUCCUGGGAAAGCAGGGCUUCUCCUCAGGGAGGUUCUACUAUGAGGUGCAGGUUGAGGGGAAGACUAAGUGGGAUCUGGGAGUGGUCAGAGAGUCCAUCAACAGGAAAAGGAAGAUUAGACUCAUUCCUGAGGAUGGAUACUGGACUAUAUGGCUGAGGAAUGGAGAUUUGUACGAGGCUAAUGCUACCCCAUUUUUACUUCUCUCCCUGAGACAGAAGCCCCAGAAGGUGGGGGUGUUUGUGGACUAUGAGGAGGGUCUGGUCUCCUUUUAUGAUGUAGAUGCCAGGUCUCAUAUCUACUCUUUCACUGGCUGCAUCUUCACAAAGAAACUCUAUCCAUAUUUCUGUCCCUGUGUGAAUGAUGGAGGUAAAAACCUUUCCCCUCUGAUCAUCACUCCUGUCACACACAAAAAGUCUGUACAUACAAAAAGUAAUACAUUCCACUGAUUGUUUAAAGAAUAUUGCAAGCAAGAGUUUAAAGAAUAUUGCAAGCAAGAGUUGUGUAUCUCUACAAUGAAUGCUAUGACUAAUGAACAAAGAAAAGAAUUAUGAAUGUUCAUCUCUGAUAUGUUACUGUAAUCAAUCAUUAGAUUACGUCAGUGUUGCCUUUGUACAACCCUUUUUCUGCUUGUAUAACACACCUCUUAGGUUCAUCAUAAGGUCAGAGGUCAGCAAGGUCAAUCCUGGAUCUACUGAUCGUCCUCCUCUGUCCACCAGAGGGGACACGUCAGGUCUUUGUUCUCAGUACCUCCAUCUGAGUUGUCUCUUCCUCAUCUCUUCUUCCUCUUUCUUUUAACGUAUACAGUGAAGAUCAGAGUCUUGAUAAGACACUCCUGACUCCUUUUGUUGUCAUUCUAAUCUUAAAGUCUGAAGUAAAUGUUCUCUCCUGUCGGCUGUUGAAAAUCUGUAUUAUUGUCGCUCACUGUCAGACUGUCAGAAAAGUUGAAGAUGUAACCUUUUAUUCUGUAUAAAAUGAUACUGUGUUUAGCAUUCCUUGUGGGCAGAGAGAGGCCACCCCCAACAUGAACUCUGGGGAACACUCGGCUUAGGUAAACAGGAAGAUCCUUAUCUUAUCUGAGAAUGUCAUUUAGUUAGCUUAAGCAGGGUCACUUCAAGACGCACACAUGCACAUGCGCGCAAGAUCUAUGUAAGGGAGACAGCCAAUGAAAGAAGAGCUAUGUGACAGUUGCAUGUCUUUGUAUGAACCAAUGACUGUUGAGAGCAGUGUUGUUUAAAUGGUUAGCUAUAGCAGACAAGCUAGCAGAAAAACUUUGUACCACCAUGGCUUUUUGUCUCCUUGCAGCUGGCCGCAAGUAAUAAAACUUCCUUGAC